CCAGUGUCUGGAACAUCACCACUUGCUGUACCAUUCGGUGUGCCAGCAGCCCACCUUCCAGAGCCUACCUUCACGCCUCACAAGGAAACAGCUUGGAAAGGACUGGGGCAUACCAACAUGUUUACGGAAUCAGCCUUUGGCAUUGGAAUAGAUCCAGUUUCAAAUCUCUAGGCCACUCCAUCAUUUAACGGAUAGAGGUUGGCCAGGCGCAGUGGCUCAUGCCUGUAAUCCCAGCACUUUGGGAAGCUGAGGCAGGCGGAUCAUCUGAGGUCAGGAGUUUGAGACCAGCCUGGCCAACAUGGCAAAACCCCAUCUCUACUGAAACUACAUAAAAUUAGCCAGGCAUGGUGUAGCCAUGCGCCUGUAGCCACAGCUACUCAGGAGGCUGAGGCAGGAGGAACACUUGAACCUGGGAGAUGGAGGCUGCAGUGAGUUGAGAUUGCAUCAUUGAACUCCAGCCUGGGCAACAGAGCAAGACUCCAUCUCAAAAAAAAUUUUAAAAUAAAGGAUAGAGGUAGAAGAGGACUAAUCAAAGGGCAAAGAGGAGAAUCCAGAAGGCCUGGUGUUAAGAAAGCUAGGAAAAGUGAUAUUGCCUGUUGCAAAAUGGACAGAGAAGGCAGGUAAGUGGACGGGGUCAUGAGGGAAUCAACUGCAGGAGCUCAGCUGUGAAGGAGAAGAGAGCAUUUUAUUUUAAAGGAAGAUUACUGACCAUGUUCCCAUACUGCAAGGGAGGGUCCAGAAAUGCAGAGAAGAAGAAAAAAGGAAUAAUGGAGACAGCAAAGGCUCAUGAGAGACUGGAGCUAGAGCACCAGUGAGGGCUCUGGGCUGGUGAGAAUUCAGCUUUUCUUUGAAAAUACAGGAGAGGGCUUGGAAGGUGAGGUGGCUGCAGAAGAGCCUGCAGCUCUGAGGAUGAGAAUUCAGGGAGUUUGUGAAAUAGAAGCUGCUAUAGAUUGAAUGUUUGUGAACACCAGCCCAACUACCAAAAUUCUUAUGCUGAAGCCUUAAUUAAUCCACAGUGUGAGACAUUGCAAGGUGGAGCCUUUGGGAGGUCAUCAGGGUGGAGCCCUCAUAAGGAGAUUGGUGCCCUUAUAAGAAGAAGAAACCAGAGCCCUCUCUUGCUCUGCCAGGUGAGGACACAGUGAGAAGAAGGCCAUCUGCAAGCAGGAAUGGGUCCUCACUAGGAAUCAAAUCUGCUGGCACCUUGAUCUUGAACUUCCCAGCUUCCAGAACUGUGAGAAAUAAAUGUCUGUUUUUAAGCUACCC
rnacentral:lncRNA from 10 species